rnacentral:lncRNA from 1 species
AUGCUAGAGUGCAGAAGCUUUGGAAGGAACAACACAAAAAUGGCAUGUGUUGAUGACAGCAUCUAUGUUAGCAGGUUUUCAGCAUCUCAGCAGAUCUAUGUACAGCUUCUAAGGACACCCAGAUCAGGAGUCAAAGCACUCUCAGCUCCUAAACGAUACAGAAAAGUACAUCUAAAACCAACAUGUCAUUGUCAACCUAAGAACAACCCAGGAGACAUGCAAAUUAUCUGUAAGGACGGCUCUCUCAUCCCUGAAUCUGCCUAUGCUUCCUCUGCAAAGCCUAGAAGCAGACGUUAUAUGGUGGACACUGCUCAUCUCUAAAAGAAAAUGUGGGCCUGAAUGAGAAGCUUGCACUGUAGGAAAG